AGCUUUGCUCAGUGGCAGUAUUGUAGCCAAUGAAAUUUAUGUGAGGUGCAAUUACUGCUAUUUUAAUUUUAUGAAAAAAUAUUAUGACCUCAAAAUCAAGUGAGUUUCUUAUAUUUGCUAAAUAUAUGAGAAU
ensembl:snRNA U4 U4 spliceosomal RNA